rnacentral:sRNA from 1 species
AUGGAAAAAAUGUAAACUAUUUGACAUACAUGAAAAUUAGAGAGUGAAACGAGAGCAAUACAAAUAGGGCAGGCCAAUAAAUUAUUGGACCUUGUGCUAUGCUCCAAAUUUCUUUACCUAAAACUCUAAAUAUUUAAAAACUAGACCCUAUUUUGCAAUUAUUUGAAAAUUUGGACUCUAAAAUAUAUUAAAAAAAACUGAAUAAAGAAGUGGGACCCGGUGCACUAGCACACUCAGCACCUCCCAAGAGCCGGGCCUGGAUACAAAUACAAUAAUUUAUUAUUUAAUGGUAGCAAAACCUUACAUGCAAAGUAAACAUAUAUAUAUCCAUUAUAUAUAUCCAACUAAUUUUGUAGGGAGAUCCUAAAAAAUGUGGUUUUUAAAUUCGUUUGGCUGGCUUUAUUUCCUUUAUAUUCUAGAAAAUUGAUGUUGAAGCGUUAAUUACUCAUUUGCACACAAAAAAAGAGAGUUAAUUACUUGUUUUU